rnacentral:rRNA from 1 species
AGAGUAUAAUCGCAAGAUUGAAAUUCAAAGGAAUUGACGGGAGUCUACACAAGCGGUGGAGCAUGUGGUUUAAUUCGAUAAUACGCGCAGAACCUUACCAAUUCUUGUAAAUAUUUUUAAAAUAUUUUUUAAAAAAUACAGGCGUUGCAUGGCUGUCGUCAGCUCGUGUUGUGAGAUGUUUGGUUUAUUCCCUUAACGAGCGAAACCCCUAUUUUUAGUUGCUAAUUUAUAUUAAAGAUUGACUCUUUUUAUAAAUGCACUUUAAAAAAAGUUAAUGACAUAUUAAUGGAAAUGGGGAUUACGUCAAGUCUUCAUGGCCCUUAUGAAUUGGGCUACACACGUGCUACAAUGAUAAAUACAAUGAGAGGCAAUAAUAAUAAAAAAUUGGAGCAAAUCUUUAAAAUUUAUCUUAGUUCGGAUUAUGGGCUGCAACUCGCCCAUAUAAAGUUGGAAUCGCUAGUAAUCGCAAAACAG